CCUACGGGAGGCUGCAGUGGGGAAUAUUGCACAAUGGGCGCAAGCCUGAUGCAGCCAUGCCGCGUGUGUGAAGAAGGCCUUCGGGUUGUAAAGCACUUUCAGCGGGGAGGAAGGCGGUGAGGUUAAUAGCCUCAUCGAUUGACGUUACCCGCAGAAGAAGCACCGGCUAACUCCGUGCCAGCAGCCGCGGUAAUACGGAGGGUGCAAGCGUUAAUCGGAAUUACUGGGCGUAAAGCGCACGCAGGCGGUCUGUCAAGUCGGAUGUGAAAUCCCCGGGCUCAACCUGGGAACUGCAUUCGAAACUGGCAGGCUAGAGUCUUGUAGAGGGGGGUAGAAUUCCAGGUGUAGCGGUGAAAUGCGUAGAGAUCUGGAGGAAUACCGGUGGCGAAGGCGGCCCCCUGGACAAAGACUGACGCUCAGGUGCGAAAGCGUGGGGAGCAAACAGGAUUAGAUACCCGUGUAGUC
rnacentral:rRNA from 1 species